GACGAACGCUGGCGGCGUGCUUAACACAUGCAAGUCGGACGAUGAAGCAAAGAAUUGAAGCUUCGGCAGAAAUUCAUUUCGGAUUAGUGGCAGACGGGUGAGUAACGCGUGAGCAACCUACCUCUUACAAAGGGAUAGCCUCGGGAAACCGGGAUUAAUACCAUAUAACAUUGCGACGAAGCAUUUCGAUGCAAUCAAAGCUACGGCGGUAAGAGAUGGGCUCGCGUCCCAUUAACCAGAUGGUGAGGUAACGGCUCACCAUAGUAACGAUGGGUAACCGGCCUGAGAGGGUGAACGGUCACACUGGAACUGAGACACGGUCCAGACUCCUACGGGAGGCAGCAGUGGGGAAUAUUGCACAAUGGAGGGAACUCUGAUGCAGCGACGCCGCGUGAGUGAUGAAGGAAUUCGUUUCGUAAAACUCUGUUCUAUGGGAAGAAAAGGACUGUACCAUAGGAGAAAGCUCCGGCUAAAUACGUG
rnacentral:rRNA from 1 species